rnacentral:rRNA from 1 species
UACAGAGGUCUCAAGCGUUGUUCGGAUUCAUUGGGCGUAAAGGGUGUGUAGGUGGCGCCGUAAGUCGGGUGUGAAAUUUCGGAGCUUAACUCCGAAACUGCAUUCGAUACUGCCGUGCUUGAGGACUGGAGAGGAGACUGGAAUUUACGGUGUAGCGGUGAAAUGCGUAGAUAUCGUAAGGAAGACCAGUGGCGAAGGCGGGUCUCUGGACAGUUCCUGACGCUGAGGCACGAAGGUCAGGGGGAGCAAACGGG